AUUGAACGCUGGCGGCAGGCCUAACACAUGCAAGUCGAACGAGUGGCGGACGGGUGAGUAAUGUCUGGGAAACUGCCUGAUGGAGGUGGAUAACUACUGGAAACGGUCGCUACUACCGCAUACCAUCCUACGUUCCCAGAUGGGAUUAGCUGGUCGGUGAGGUAACGGCUCACCAAGGCGACGAUCCCUAGCUGGUCUGAGAGGAUGCCCAGCCACACUCGAACUGAGACACGUUCCAGACUCCGACGUGAUGCAGCAGUGGGGAAUCUUGCACAAUGGGCGCAAUCCGGAUGCAGCCAUUCCGCGUGUAUGAAGAAGGCCUUCGGGUUGUAAAGUACUUUCAGCGGUGAGGCGUUACCCGCAGAAGAAGCACCGGCUAACUCCGUGCCAGCAGCCGCGGUAAUAC
rnacentral:rRNA from 1 species